UACCAGCACCCCGAGUGGUCGGGACGAUUAUUGGGCCUAAAGCAUCCGUAGCCGGUACUGCAAGUCUUCCGUUAAAUCCACCUGCUCAACAGUUGGGCUGCGGAGGAUACUACAGCGCUAGGAGGCGGGAGAGGCAAGCGGUACUCAUUGGGUAGGGGUAAAAUGCUCAAAUAUAUAGAGGAACACCAAUCGGCGAAGGCAGUUAACUAUUCGGCUCCUGACGUUGAGGCACGAAAGCGUGAGGAGCAAGACGG
rnacentral:rRNA from 1 species